UCCUCCAUAGAUUAGUGGUAGUUCGUCUUGCUUAUGUCCGAAUUUCAUGUGAUGGUUGGUGACAAGCAGGUGUCGGUUCGAUUCCGAGUGGUGGUG